rnacentral:lncRNA from 1 species
CCACACUCUGGGUCUUCAGGGAAGUGUCAGCCUCAGAGCUGCGGUCAGUGCGUGGAGCCGGCUACCUGUUGGGGAAGAAGAACUUAAGUGGCUUUUCAAGGUACACGCUGAAGACAGCAGAGUGACAAGCUAGAUGGAACCUGGAUCCUAAAUCACCAUGUUAAAGGCCACCCACCAAAUACUCAACAUUGAACAGCUCUGAAUGUUUCCUAAAGAAAUAAUCCAAGAUUCAAAGACUGAUAGAAUCUGAGAACAAUGGACAAAACCCGAAAUGGCUAUAAUCACAAUGAAUGCUGCAAAGGGCUCUGAAACAUGGGAAUGGAAACUGAACAGCAGAGGACAGAAAAUAAAUUACAAAAUUGCUCAGUAGUACAAAUACAGUAUUUGUGAUGGGAAUUAAGAACAAUAGUUGAAAAGAAAAUAAAAACCUGAUCAGCAAGCCUGGUGUUUAAUAAGUGUAUACACUGACCCAUUUGCACAAACAUUUUGGAAUAGAUUGGUGAAUGGAUCCUGGCAUGGAAAUACUUUGUUAAUUGUGAUCAGAGGGUUAUCAGCUCUUUUUCUCUAAGAAAUUAUUUGACAUAUGAUUAAAUUGCCAAGGUCUCUUCUACCUUUUAUAUAUAGAUUUUUCCAGCCCAAGUCCCCUAACAUUAUUGUUUUCAUAACUCUGAAGGCUUUUCUUCUCCUCUUCAUAGCUGAUCCUUCUCACCAUUCUCCCUGGCCUCAGGCAGUGAUGGUAAUAUGGGUAACGUAAGUGCUACUACCAGAAAUUAUGUUAAAAAUGUAUUAUGG